rnacentral:rRNA from 1 species
CCCUUAGAUGUUCUGGGCCGCACGCGCGCUACACUGACUACACCAACAAGCAUUCACCUUGACCGAAAGGUCUGGGAAAUCUUAAAAAGGUAGUCGUGAUGGGGAUAGAUUAUUGUAAUUUUUAAUCUUCAACGAGGAAUUCCUAGUAAACGCAAGUCAUCGGCUUGCAUUGAUUACGUCCCUGCCCUUUGUACACACCGCCCGUCGCAUCUACCGAUUGAAUGGAGAGGCAAAAUCUAUGGAUUGUGACACGUUUGGGUUAAACUAAAUGUAGUUGUGAGAAGUGGAUUAAACCUUUCCAUUUAGAGGAAGAUGAAGUCGUAACA